UACGUAGGUGGCAAGCGUUGUUCGGAAUUAUUGGGCGUAAAGGGCGCGUAGGCGGCAUGUUAAGUCGGCUGUGAAAGCCUGGGGCUCAACCCCAGAGGGUCGGCCGAUACUGGCAAGCUAGAGUACGGAAGAGGUAGCUGGAAUUCCCGGUGUAGCGGUGAAAUGCGUAGAUAUCGGGGGGAACACCUGAGGCGAAGGCGGGCUACUGGGCCGAUACUGACGCUGAUGCGCGAAAGCCAGGGGAGCGAACGGG
rnacentral:rRNA from 1 species